CAUAAUAAAAAUGAGCUUCUAUUUCAGAAUGCUUAAGGAAUCUGAAAAAUAUUGAUGUAUAGUAAAAAAAAAAUACAUAAACUAGGGGCAGUGCAACCUGGGGUGUGGUGAUGAGUGUGUGAGCAUGAGUGUGCAAGGCAAGUAUGUUAGCCCACCCCAGCGACCCUCCCCACCUACUCCUUGAUCUUAUUGGAUCAGGUAAAACCCCCACCCUCAGCUCCACCAGUGUUGAUCCGGGAUGAGAAAAAUCUCCCUUCUGCGAACCCCCUGCUUGGGCCCUGUGCAGUGAGACCUUCUGGAGGCUAGUUCAGUCCCAGCCCAGAGUUGGUUCCGAAAAGGUCUUGUGCUCGGAAAUGAUGAACUGAUCAGAUAAACGAGACCUGGAGGUUCGCCUCCCGGGUUACUGAUUUAUCAAAGAGGUUUCUGAUCUGA